rnacentral:rRNA from 1 species
GACGAACGCUGGCGGCGUGCUUAACACAUGCAAGUCGAACGAAGAGCGACGGAAGCUUGCUUCUCUCAAUCUUAGUGGCGAACGGGUGAGUAACGCGUAAUCAACCUGCCCUUCAGAGGGGGACAACAGUUGGAAACGACUGCUAAUACCGCAUACGAUCUAACCUCGGCAUCGAGGAUAGAUGAAAGGUGGCCUCUACAUGUAAGCUAUCACUGAAGGAGGGGAUUGCGUCUGAUUAGCUAGUUGGAGGGGUAACGGCCCACCAAGGCGAUGAUCAGCAGCCGGUCUGAGAGGAUGAACGGCCACAUUGGGACUGAGACACGGCCCAGACUCCUACGGGAGGCAGCAGUGGGGAAUCUUCCGCAAUGGACGAAAGUCUGACGGAGCAACGCCGCGUGAGUGAUGACGGCCUUCGGGUUGUAAAGCUCUGUCAAUCGGGACGAAAGGCCUUCUUGCGAAUAGUGAGAAGGAUUGACGGUACCGGAAUAGAAAGCCACGGCUAACUACGUG